rnacentral:lncRNA from 1 species
GUCUGUGUGUGUGAUCAAUGCCUUACUCAUAUACUAACCGUCCUGAUUAACGUUUAUUAAUCGAAAGUCUUCGCAAAUGUGUAUUGCGUUUACGAGUAACUAGAAACAAUGUACGCUUGAGGUCGAACCAAUCGUAAAACUAAUCUACUAAUGCUCAAACGGUUGCUAUUCAACUGACACAUUGCUGUUCGUGUAUGAUUACAUAGAAAACAUACUGCGUACGUGAAUAAGUAUGCAAAA